rnacentral:piRNA from 1 species
GAGCGACUUACAGCCACACAGAGGCAGC